UUAGAUGUCCGGGGCCGCACGCGCGCCACACUGAAGGAAUCAACGUGUGCUCUCCCUGUCCGGCAGGACUGGGUAACCCGUUGAACCUCCUUCGUGAUAGGGAUAGGGGCUUGUAAUUGUUCCCCUUGAACGAGGAAUGCCUAGUAAGCGCGAGUCAUCAGCUCGUGCUGAUUACGUCCCUGCCCUUUGUUCACACCGCCCGUCGCUACUUCCGAUUGAAUGGUUUAGUGAGGUCUUCGGACUGGCGCCCGAACUCGGCUUCGCGGCCGGGCCGCGGUGCCGGAAAGAUGACCGAACUUGGUCACUUAGAGGAAGUAAAAGUCGUAACAAGGUAGC
rnacentral:rRNA from 1 species